CGGGUCCGGGCCCCGCCUCUCCACUCGGCGGUGGCGUCCGUGUCGUUAUUGUGGUGGUAGCGGCGUCUGGCUGCUGCGGACCCCGCCGAGUCCUAGCGCCUGGCCUGCGCGCCGCUGCCCGCGCCACAGGAUUAAUUUAUUUUUGGAAAUCAAGUGCAAUAUUGGAAGCCAUUUCUACUAAUUUUAUUUCACUUUUAAAUUUAUGAUUUGAUUUGAAUACUAUCAUGGGAGGAGCUGUGAGUGCUGGGGAAGAUAAUGAUGACUUAAUUGAUAAUUUAAAAGAAGCUCAGUAUAUUCGUACUGAAAGAGUGGAGCAAGCCUUCAGAGCGAUUGAUCGUGGAGAUUACUAUUUGGAAGGCUACAGAGACAAUGCUUACAAAGACUUAGCCUGGAAGCAUGGAAACAUCCACUUGUCAGCACCUUGCAUUUAUUCUGAAGUUAUGGAAGCAUUGAAACUUCAACCAGGAUUGUCUUUUCUUAACCUGGGAAGUGGAACCGGAUAUUUAAGUACAAUGGUGGGCUUAAUUUUAGGUCCUUUUGGAAUAAAUCAUGGGAUUGAGCUUCAUUCAGAUGUGGUGGAAUAUGCCAAGGAAAAACUGGAGAGCUUCAUCAAAAAUAGUGAUAGCUUUGAUAAAUUUGAGUUCUGUGAACCUGCAUUUGUUGUUGGUAAUUGCCUCCAGAUAGCAUCUGACAGUCAUCAGUAUGAUCGAAUUUAUUGUGGAGCUGGAGUCCAGAAAGACCAUGAAAACUACAUGAAAAUAUUACUAAAAGUUGGAGGCAUAUUAGUCAUGCCUAUAGAGGAUCAGUUAACACAGAUUAUGCGAACUGGACAGAACACUUGGGAAAGUAAAAAUAUCCUUGCUGUUUCAUUUGCUCCACUUGUGCAACCAAGUAAGAAUGAUAAUGGCAAACCAGAUUCUGUGGGACUCCGUAAGUAGCUCUUCAUAUUUUCUGAUUGAAUUAUGACUUAUGGUGUUUGGCUUUUAUGCUUGGGAUUUAAGACUAUGUAAUUAUGAAGAAUUAAAUACUUAUGCAGUAAGAUAUUUGGUGGAUUUAUUCAACUUUUUUUUUUUUUUUUGGAGACAGUCUUGUUCUGUUACCCAGGCUCGAGUGCAGUGGUGCCAUGUCGGCUCACAGCAAUGUCUGCCUCCUGGGUUCAAGCGAUUCUUGUGCCUCAGACACCCAAGUAGGUGGGAUUACAGGUGUGCACCACCACGCCUGGCUAAUUUUUGUAUUUUUAGAAGAGACGCUGUUUCACCAUGUUGGCCAGGCUGGCCUCAAACACCUGACCUCGAGUGAUCCACCCAUCUCAGCCUCCCAAAGUGCUGGGAUUAUAGGCGUGAGCCAUGCGCACUGGGCCUCAAUUUUUUUUUUUGGUAAAAUAAAGCCCUCACCUUAUACUAGACACUGUUAGCUACCUUCAUGGAAACAUAAGAAGAAGGGGCAGGUCAAACCAAAACCAAAUUUAUUAAUUAUAGUUUGUGAUGUGGUGGCAAGUUACUGGUUGUGGGAAGGGCAUCUACUGUAGGUAUGGUGGUAAGGAAGAACUUUCUGCCAAGGCAACAUCUAAAUUAUGACCAGAGUGAUAUAAAAGAACUUGCCACAUCAAGAUUUAGUGGCAGCAUUUUUUCAUACAGAGAGACAAUAAAUACAAAAGGCUUUAGGCUGAAGAGAACUUUGGUCAUUCCCAGAUCAGGCAUAAGGUCCAGAGUGGUGGAAGCUCAUUGGCUGCCUGUGGAGGAUGGAUUAUCAUAGGAAAAAAAGGCAGGCAGGCCAGUCAGGUGGCUUUUCUUACACCCACAGGAGAGUGGAUGUUGGUGUGGAUAGUGUUGUCUAAAGGCAGAAGAAUAGCUGACUCGGGAGUGUGGGUAGAGGGAAAAGAAGAAUUCGUUUUCCCUUGAGGCUAGCUGAGUGCUGGCAUUAUUUACUGUUGCCAGGAAGACUGGAAGUGGCAUAAUUUGGAAAUAGGCAUAGAAAGGUCUGACAUUUUCCUUUCACCGUGUUUGAGUUGUCUGUUACCAUACAGACAAAUGUCAGGUGGCACGAACCUGCUUCAUGAGCAAGUUAUAAAUGGAGACCCCUCAACAUGAACAUGGCAUUUUAGGCUAGGGUUAGAUAGAAAUGGAUGAGAUCAUUUAGCGGAGAGUGGAGAUAAAGAGGAGAUAUUGGAGUUGGACCUGAGGUCCACCAAUUUAGUGAUAAAAUGGCGGAAAAUGGAUUAGCGAAGGAGGUGCCAACAAAGGUGGUGGGGGCAAACUAGGGUCAGGUCCCCAGGGUGUUGAAAACCAAGAAAGAAAAGUUUCAAGGAGGGAGUAAUGAACCUAAUGGGGCAAAUGAGAGCCUGAAAUGGAGAGGAGAGGUGGUAUUAAUUGGUUUGACUUAGAUCAUAGUUUUUUUAACCAUGAGGUAAAAUUCUUUACCAAAAAGGAACCUCUUGACUUAAGUUUGCCUUUUAAAUGAACUUAUUGCAUAGGAAUUUGGGUUUAUAGAAAGAUACAAUUUUUUUUUCAGUGUUCAUUCUACUCUCUUUUGAGCUGCAUGACUUUGGGACUUUUGGGUGUUUGUGAAAACUAUAUGGAGUAAUAUUUGUUUUGUUUUGUUUUGUUUUUACGAUGGAGUCUCAUUCUGUCACCCAGGCCGUAAUGCAGUGGCACGAUCUCGGCUCACUGCAAUCUCCACCUCCUGGGCUCAAGCAAUUCUCCUGCCUCGGCCUCCUGAGUAGCUGGGAUUACAGGCUCCCACCACCAUGCUCUGCUAGUUUUUUAUAUUUAGUAGAGACCAGGUUUCACAACCCUUACAUUAGGCAGACCCAACCACCCACCCAGUUUCAGGCAGUGGCACCAGCCUGCCACCAUGGGAGUCUACCUGUAAAUACAUGGUGAAUAGAGCCUAGUGAAUGUGUGUGACUCCCAGACUAAAGUAGGCACAUCCCAGAGGAAAAGAGAAAGGAAUGACAGCCAAACAUGGCCAGCUGCUUUUUACACACCUGAAACAUACAAGCCUAGCCGUUCCUCCACCCUUGGGAAGAAUGUGUGCGAUGAUGCAGAGAGGCUCGCAUGGCUCUGUGCUCCCUGUGCUGUCAGGAAUCUACAAGACUUGGCUCGUAUUUACAUUCGACGCACACUUAGAAAUUUCAUAAAUGAUGAGAUGCAGGCCAAGGGGAUUCCUCAAAGGGCUCCACCCAAAAGGAAAAGAAAGAGAGUUAAACAGAGAAUUAACACUUACGUAUUUGUGGGUAAUCAGCUUAUUCCUCAGCCUCUAGACAGUGAAGAGGAUGAAAAAAUGGAAGAGGAUAACAAAGAAGAGGAAGAAAAAGAUCACAAUGAAGCAAUGAAGCCAGAGGAGCCACCUCAAAAUUUACUGAGAGAAAAAAUCAUGAAGCUGCCCCUCCCUGAAUCUUUAAAAGCUUACUUGACAUAUUUUAGAGACAAAUAACUUAGAUCAAGAAGAAAGAAUGCCUACUGAUAAUUCCUUUAGUCUUGAAAAUGUAGCAUUUGUUAGGAGUUAAAAGAGAGAAUUAUUUCUUUCAUCAGAGCAAAUUAUAGUGGAAAAAAAAUCACUUGUUUCUGUCAGUAACACAAAUGAUGUAUUCAGUGAAUAAAAGAAUCCCUUUUAUAAAAUCUAUUUUUCUUUAAAUCUUGGAAAAAUGUUGUUUUAGCUCAGAGUGAUUUCAAAGUGGAAUGCAACAGUAGUCAAGACUUGUGUACUAUAAAUCCUUUUCUGAUUCCUUACAGAUUUGUAGUGAUGAGGGUUAGAUUUAAUUUUAUAUAUGGUUUAAAUAAUUGUUAAGCUUAUAUAACCUGAUCUGAAUUGCAGUUGUUUGCAUUUCCUCUAUGAAAACUUCAUUUAUCUAAUAAGGAAGUCAAAUGCUUUGUAGACUAUUUACCUUACUUUUGUUGCAAUCACUGUUGUUGGGUUGCUGUAUAUAUAUUCCGGGCAAUAUAUGAGUGCAAUAACAAUACAAGAUAUUGAAUAAUUUAGCUUUAAAAAAUCCCACAAAAUUUAUGAAAUUUUACAGCCCUGCUACUUUUGCUUUUGAAUCUCUUGCCAAAAGACAUGGGUAAAAUAUCUGCCUCUCUCAUAGAGAUUUUAAGAGCACAGCAAGUGAAUUAUUAAAACAGAAAGUAUAUACUUAAUACAACUCUUUAUAUGGACCCUUUACAUUUUCAGUAUUUAAAAAAAUGAGGUUAUCUUAACUCUAUAGAAUUUUAAAAGUAUAUUUAGAAUUGUUUUUUCUGUAGUUCACUGUAUAAAGUAUUUGGUUUUUUAAAAAAAGCAAAACCAUUGUUAUGUGUGACUCUUGAUAGGACACAGAACGAGUGAAUGAGCAUGAGUGAGGCCACUUUCUUGGAUGGCUGUAAGUAGCAGGGCCAGGGUAGACCUGGUCAGCGGAUGCACUUUAGCAGAUGGAACUUCUAGUUUAUCUGAAUAUUUAUCUUUGACAAGGUAGGGCUGAGCCUACAUUUGCUUUUGAUCUAUCUAGUAUAAGAAAUAUUCACAGAAAUUGUAUGUAGAUACCCUUUGUUUUGAAAAUCCUGUUCAGAAUCAUAGUGUAAUCUUUGGGACCUAUGCCAUGUUCAUUUCACUCCUUCCCAUAUUUUUUGUGUUUCUUUUGGUAAAACUAUAAUGGUUUUCAUUUUUUACUUAAUAUCACACAGUUAAACUGUCCAUAUUUGAGCUUUAUUUUAGCUUAUCAGUGAUAAAAAACAGGUAGUAACUGCCAUUGUUUGUUUAUUUGUUUUCCUAAUAAGGCCUGAAAACAGCCAUUCCUUGUUAAGAAAGUGUACAAUGUAACAUAUUUGCUAGAGUUACAUGGAUUAUAUAUUUCUUAAAGGGAAAAAUUUGAGAGUAUCAUGGACUACCACCAGCAUUAUUAUUACAGUAGUUACUCAGAUUUGGUUAAGGAAGCCCAAGCAAUGUAUAGUGAAAGGAUUAUUAUCUCUCUGCUAAGAUUCAGAUAUUGUUUCAGAAAUCUCAGCUCCAGUAAUUCCACAACGUCUAAAAACAAAUGUUUGUGAUCAUGUGUAAGCAUGAAAUUGUUCCAAGUAAGUGAGGAUAUUUUAGUUAUGUGAAAGACAGUUUCAUGGAAGGUAUUUGUUUUAUACCAGUGGCUGGGAUGGUGGAAUUGGGGUUAUUUCUACAAUUAUUCUUAGACGAUUACUAAACUGUUAAGAAAUGCCCCAUAUCAUUUUUGUAUCUAGGAAAGAAAAAAAUCAGUUUCAUACUGUUGUCAUCUGUCAGAAAUGCUCAUUUUAUUUUGAAUUAAAUGUGGCUUUUGAAGUACCUAGUUACCUUGAAUUCCUGGUGACCACAUGUUUUUAUCUGGAAAACCUGGAGAAAGUUAUCUGUCCCAUCUCCCCUGCUUGUUUUUUUUUUUUUUUUUUGGUUGGAGCUGCUGUUUAGAUGAUGCUUUUACUAUGCAGGAGAGAGUUUUUGUUAAGGAUAUAUUUGAAGAUUGGCUUUUCCAUAUUGUCUUUCAUUCUUUGACCGUGGCAAAGUGUACAGUAGAUUUUCAUGAUCAUUGCAUAUUUCUUGUCAUUGAAAUGUAUCUUUUAUGUUUUUAAAUGCAUUCAUUUUACACUUGUGAGUUUAUCAUUGACUUUAAGAGGUAGAAAUGAAAAAUGAAAAUUAAAGCUAAAGCCUUUUUAUCUAUUAAUGCAGAUAUAUUAGAAUAAGAAUAUUUUGGGUUUGUGUUUAUUUUUUAAUGAAUUUAUGUUUACUUGAGUAUGGAAAAUUACGCUUUAUAGGUGGAAAAGUAGCAAAUAAAGAUUAAGUAAAAGUAAGUGAAAAUGAUGGGGAAUAUAGUAUUGGAAUUUUAUAGCUAGUUAAAACAAUAAGUAUCAUCUAAUUUGGGUGUUUAUUUUGCAGAUGAGAAAACAGACCUAGAACCGUGGCAUGUUUUGCCUGAAACACAAUGAGUUAGAGACAGGGCCUAAGAUAGCUUCUAGCAUCAGAUCAAUCCCAAGAAUCCAUCAGCAACCUCAGACCAACCCAAGAAGAUAAUUUAAAUCUAUACUGCUUAUUGGUCAAUAAUAUUUGAUUCUAGUAUUAAUAAAGAAAAAUGUUAUUAAAAUAGCAUACAUAGUAGUAAAAUAAAAUACAAAAAGUGUGUUGAUUUAUAGCUGUUUGAGAUGAUAAAAGUGAAGCAAAGCCUGUUAAAUCAUUGGAAGACUUGGAAAAUUAUUUUAAAUAAACAAUUACAUGUAAUUAA